rnacentral:snRNA from 1 species
CGUCGGGGUGUUGGACGCAUUGACGAAUCAUUCUCUCGCCUUUUACUAGAGAAAGCCGUGUAUCCGUCACAAGACCCGAGUUCGAAUUUCUUCCUAAACUCUCAUCGAGUAUA